UGAUAGAGGCGCGGAAUUUAUCAGUACCGACCGACGGCAAAGCAGGGGCUUUGUCGGUUGCCAAAGGAAAUUCCGCCGAAACGGUCUGUCACCCCGAAGGGCAGGGCGUUGGGCCGAUGCAGAACAUGUAUCGGACUGUCACUUUCCGUGGAGCGCUAUC
rnacentral:ncRNA from 1 species